rnacentral:rRNA from 2 species
GGUAGGGAUACCCGCUGAACUUAAGCAUAUCAAUAAGCGGAGGAA